UACGUAGGGACCAAGCGUUGUCCGGAUUUAUUGGGCGUAAAGAGCGUGUAGGCGGCCAGGUAGGUCUGCUGUGAAAACUCGAGGCUCAACCUCGAGACGUCGGCGGAAACCAUCUGGCUAGAGUCCGGAAGAGGAGAGUGGAAUUCCUGGUGUAGCGGUGAAAUGCGCAGAUAUCAGGAAGAACACCCGUGGCGAAGGCGGCUCUCUGGGACGGUACUGACGCUGAGACGCGAAAGCGUGGGGAGCGAACAGG
rnacentral:rRNA from 1 species